UUCGAGGAAUGUGUUGAACGGAAUGUAAAAGAAAAGUGCAACUGUCUGCUGACCUUUCCUAAUGACAAGACUAAUUUAUACACCUGUACAAGACAAGACUUUGAUUGCAUAGAAGAUGUCCAUGAAAACGUAACUGGAUGCAAAUGCCUAAAUCCUUGCAGUGAAAAAAGACACGCGAUGACAAUUUCGACCACUAGGUGGCCAGCUGAAAACUAUGAAGAUUUACUGGAAAAAAUAUUGAAAAAUAAAGGACUAUCUUUCUCAAAUGCAAGAAACAGUUUGUUGCAAAUAAGUAUAUACUUUUCGUCGCUAUAUGAGGAAGUUACAGAAGAAAUACCUUCAAUCACGUUUGAAAGUUUUCUAUCAAAUAUAGGAGGAUCUCUUGGUCUAUGGAUUGGAAUGUCCGCCAUUAGCAUCGGAG